CCUACGGGGGGCUGCAGUGGGGAAUAUUGGACAAUGGGGGCAACCCUGAUCCAACCAUGCCGCGUGUGUGAAGAAGGCCCUCGGGUUGUAAAGCACUUUCAGUGAGGAAGAACGCCUGGUGGUUAAUACCCAUCAGUAAAGACAUCACUCACAGAAGAAGCACCGGCUAACUCCGUGCCAGCAGCCGCGGUAAUCCGGAGGGUGCGAGCGUUAAUCGGAAUUACUGGGCGUAAAGCGCGCGUAGGUGGCUUGAUAAGCCGGUUGUGAAAGCCCCGGGCUCAACCUGGGAACGGCAUCCGGAACUGUGAAGCUAGAGUGCAGGAGAGGAAGGUAGAAUUCCCGGUGUAGCGGUGAAAUGCGUAGAUAUCGGGAGGAAUACCAGUGGCGAAGGCGGCCUUCUGAACUGACACUGACACUGAGGUGCGAAAGCGUGGGUAGCAAACAGGAUUAGAUACCCUGGUAGUC
rnacentral:rRNA from 1 species